rnacentral:lncRNA from 1 species
GUUCAUGGUGAGUUCCGGCACCUUUUUUGCUAGAAAUAUAUCACUAUUUAUACCCCACACAUCUUUUUGGGUUGCCUCAGCACUCUGGGCAGCUCCCAACAUAAAGACAUUCAUACUAAAAUAUUAAACAUAUUAAAAAAUCUCGAUAUUGGAUUGGACGCCUUGUGGGUUGGAUAACUCCACAUCCGCCAACAUUUCUCCAAUGAAAAUAGGGACAUUCUAAGGAAAAGUGGGACAUUCCGGGAUCAAAUGAAAAACUGUCUCUAAAUCAGGGAUGUCCCUGGAAAACUGGAACACUUGCAGGCUCUGUAGUAACAGAAAUGGCUGUACAGUGGUGCCCCGCAAGACGAAUGCCUCGCAAGACGAAAAACCCGCUAGACGAAAGGGUUUUCCGUUUUUCGAUGCGCUUCGCAAGACAAAUUUCCCUAUGGGCUUGCUUCGCAAGACGAAAAUGUCUUGCGAGUCUUGCGAUUUUUUUUUGCUCCCUCCCCCUUUUUUUAAGCCGCUAAGCCGCUAAUAGCCUUUUAGCCGCUAAGCCGCUAAGCCUUUAAUAGCCGCUAAACCGCUAAUAGCGCUAAUCCGCUAAGCCACUAAUAGGGUUGCUUCGCAAGACGAAAAGACCGCUAGACGAAGAGACUCGCGGAACGGAUUAUUUUCGUCUUGCGAGGCACCACUGUAUAGGAAUUCCAGUCUACAUGAGAUACACGUAGCCCCAAAUCAUAAGAGGUUGAAGUGAGUAGGCCUGAUAUAUCCAUCUUGGCUUCCCGUUUUCUUAAUGCUGGUGUUUUCCCCUGCCAUUCCAGCUUCACCCUUUCUUAAGAGAAAUCCGGUGUCUGAAUACUUCCAGAGGCAGGCUGUGCUUGGAUGAGAACUGGGAGCUGCCAGCGGACUUUGAUAUUGUGAACUGGGUGAUGUCUCCCAAUAAGUCUCGUGACAUUGUGAAAAUUGGGAAUAUAAGGAGAGAGACGUCUGCUGGCAUAAAUUUCACCAUUAACCCAGAAGCCAUUGAGUGGCCCAAGAAAUUCAAUAAGGUAGGGUAAAUCACAGAGGGAAAAGGCCAGGAGAUCCUUAUUAUGUUUUUCCUUAAACAACCGCUGCAAAAUGACCAUAUCAGGUUGACCAAUGGUGUCUUGACCGUCUAUAACAGCUGCAACCACCACUCCUUCUUUCCACAGCAGCUGAGAUAGGAGGGGAAUUUGGGGUGCUCAAAGAAAGGAUAGAGCCCAGAGGUCCUUAGUAAAGACACCAUCUAUUUCCGAGCCAGACUGAGAAUUUAAGAAUUCUGGACAGAAUCUUUAACCGAAUGGACUACGUAGAUAAGAAGAAAAGGGAAAGCCCCUAGUAAAAGUGAACUAUUGGGCUUUCAUACAUGCAGAAAGAUGGAAAGUAAUUUAUUUUAGAAAUGAUAAUUACUGAUUUAUAGUGGAUUUUUUAAUUUGUGGAGUAAGCUCAUUUGUAGAUGUUGCAAAUGUUAAACUAUUGUAUGUGCAGGAAUUGAGAAGUGCACAGCUGUUGGUGAAGGAUGAGAAGUUAAAAAAAUACCCCUAUUGUAAAGUAAGGUUAAUGUUAAGAAAUGGCACAUGAACUAGAAAUAACUAGGGAAAUAGAUCAGCGACAAGAGGAAACCUUGCAUGCCUCAAGAACAGAGUGAGGGAAACCAAUAUUUGGAAAAGUCAUAUUAAAUUUGUCUUAAUUAGUGACUGAGAGUUUAUCAGAAUCCUGAACUUUGGGGAAAUCACAUUUCAGACUCCAUUGCCAUUUUCUUUGAAGAUAUAUUAAGCAGGGAAGCAGGUAAACGGAGAAGAGGAAAGAGAAUUCUGUGGCGCAAACCUCAGUUGUCCUGAACAAAGAACAAGAUAUUCUGGUCACACCAAUGGUCAGUGGGGGGUUGAAAGGACCCUGAUGAGGGGUCAAAGGCUGCAGUCCAGAGAUCCAUUUGAAUUCACUCUAUGAGUGAAUUACAUACCCACAAAUACUCCUAACUGUUCCUCUUUCUUGCACCUUCUUGUCUUUCUGGUUAGGCCGUGCCUCGUUCCAGGUGUACAGAAAGAUGUCGACCUGGAUAUGCCAAGGUGGUUCUAGAAGGAAAGCCCAUUUGCUGCUAUGCUUGUGCUCGGUGUGCGGAAGGGACCUUCUCCGCCCAGGAAGGUGGGUGACUCCAAGGGGGAAGGUAUUUCUGGAGAGAGUAAACACAGGGCAGAAAUCCAGUCUCAAACACUUUUUGUGAGAUUUCUGCAGACAUUGGGGAAUGUGGCUCCUUCCUCAACUUCUUUACAAUCACCUUCAUUACAUCCUGGAAGAGAGUUGAAAGGAAUGACCAUAAGGAAGAAAUCUCUAGGAUUUCUUCAAAAUGUAAUCGAGUUCAGAUCAUUAGGGAUGUAAGUGAUGUUGCAGCCACUCUUUUUCUCUUCCCCAGAUGCAGAACAUUGCACCAAAUGCUCAGAAGAUCACCAUUCAAACAAGGACAGAGAUCAAUGUGUCCCCAAGAUUACCACCUUCCUGACUUAUGGAGAAUAUUUAGGAAUGGUGUUAGCUUCCGUUGCCCUCUUCUUAUCUAUAACAGCAGGCACUGUGUUGGGAAUCUUCAUUAAAUACAAGGAAACUCCCAUAGUCAAAGCCAACAACCGGGACCUCUCCUACAUCCUGCUCGUCUCCCUCCUGCUUUCCUUUUUGUCCUCCUUCCUCUUCAUCGGGCGCCCAAGGAAAGAGACCUGCCUUCUCCGACAAACGGCCUUCAGCAUCAUCUUCUCAGUUGCUGUUUCUUCUGUCUUGGCAAAGACCAUCACGGUGGUGCUGGCCUUCCUGGCCACAAAGCCCGGGAACAGGGUGAGGAGAUGGCUGGGCAAGAGUCUGGCCAACUCCAUGGUCAUCUCCUGUUCUGGGGGGCAAGUUCUCAUCUGCACCAUCUGGCUGGGCUCUUCUCCCCCAUUCCCAGAGCCCGACAUGCGCUCCCAGGCGGAAGAGAUCGUCCUGCAAUGCAACGAAGGGUCUGUGGCCAUGUUCUACGUUGCCCUCGGCUACCUGGGCUUCUUGGCUGCCACCUGCUUCACGGUGGCUUUCCUAGCCAGGAAGCUGCCCGGCUCCUUCAACGAAGCCAAGCUGAUCACCUUCAGCAUGCUGGUCUUCUGCAGUGUUUGGUUGUCGUUUGUGCCCACC